rnacentral:rRNA from 1 species
UACGUAGGGACCGAGCGUUGUCCGGAUUCAUUGGGCGUAAAGAGCUCGUAGGCGGUUUGUUGCGUCGGCUGUGAAAUCCCGAGGCUCAACCUCGGGUCUGCAGUCGAUACGAGCAAACUAGAGUGUUGCAGGGGAGACUGGAAUUCCUGGUGUAGCGGUGAAAUGCGCAGAUAUCAGGAGGAACACCGGUGGCGAAGGCGGGUCUCUGGGCAACAACUGACGCUGAGGAGCGAAAGCGUGGGGAGCGAACAGG